UACGUAGGGUGCAAGCGUUGUCCGGAAUUAUUUGGGCGUAAAGAGCUCGUAGGCGGUGUGUCACGUCGGCCGUGAAAACCUGGGGCUUAACUCUGGGCGUGCGGUCGAUACGGGCAUCACUAGAGUUCGGCAGGGGAGACUGGAAUUCCUGGUGUAGCGGUGAAAUGCGCAGAUAUCAGGAGGAACACCGGUGGCGAAGGCGGGGUCCCUGGACACUUCCUGACACUGAGGCACGAAAGCUAGGGGAGCAAACAGGA
rnacentral:rRNA from 1 species